GGGGGCGUCACGGCUUCGACGGGAUUGCUAGCGGCAGAGAGGCAUGCCGGGGUGUGGACACCCGUAAUCGCUCACAAAACUAUAAGUGCCGAACCUCAAUUCGCGCUUGCUGCUUAAUUAACUAAGUAGCCGAUCGCUCAGGCUUCGCCUACGGGCUUGUACCGAUCGUCGCACAGUAGGCUGGCCCAAGGAGUUCCGUCUGGACGCCAAGGGCGAGACCAAUCAGGCUGGUGGUUGACGCGUCUUCGUCCGUUCCAAGCGUCCGCCACGAGACAAACGUGAACCGGAAAAAGCAUGAAAGCUCUCUGUUGACUGUAGUUUCGGACGCGGGUUCGACUCCCGCCGCCUCCACCA
rfam:Granulicella mallensis MP5ACTX8, complete genome.